UAGCUCAGUGGGUAGAGCACCUGACUUGUGAUUCAAGGAACCUGGGUUUGAAUCCCGG
rnacentral:tRNA from 1 species